AACACUGUUAACCUGCGGUACCUGCGGAAGGAUCAUUAACACAAACUGCGGUUGCGCAUGUGCACGUCGCCCCUUCACCGGGGAUCCACGAUUGCUGCUGGUGCUCCGCAUUUGGAUCCAAAUCCAUUUACCCCUGUGAAAUGUUAAAGUCUUUACAUCGUGCCAAAAACACCUUGUAUUGAUUUUCGACUGAACUUUUAGAAGCGGAUGCAAGUUACGCGCAAGCGUCUCUCGCAAACG
rnacentral:misc_RNA from 1 species